UCCCUCACCCUGUUCUGGUCUGGCAGGUUUCCCUGUCCAGGACUCCAGCAACUGCAGAUGCAAGAAAGAGAAAGGCCAGUCCUCCCGCCAAGUGCCAGGACACCAUCAAUGCCUGAUGAUAAAUAUCAAUGAACUGGAUGACCUCUAUGGGUCCUUGUGCCAAGCAGUGAAAACAGCCAGAGGCAUCCAGCUCAUGACCAAGGACAUAAGUCAGUCUUUGACCUCUGACCUGAACAAAGCCCGGACUCUGAGGGAAAAAGUCUACAUUACCCUUUUGAAAACUGUAACUUCUUAAGGACUAUUAAGAAGAAGGGGAAUGAGAAAAAAUAAUUGGAGCAAUUGUUAGUUUCUUCAUGAUCAAAGCAACAUCCUUGGCUUACUCCUUUGAAAAAGACCUGAUUGGGCAAUUUUCCACUGGAGUUUUGGAGUACCAAGGGGUUGAGGUUCACAGGUUUUGAAAGUCAGCAGCAGGCUACCAAACCAUCAGCUUCUCAUUGGUCUGAGAAAGGUUCCCCACUGGCUUGUUCGGAGGGAAAUCUCAAGAGGUGAUUUUAGACACUGCUAUUCACUGUGACGUUCUUGAUGCAAACCUUCUCUCCACUUCCUCCUGUACCUGUCACACACUCGUUGGGCAUUCGAAUGAUGUAGCCCUGAGGCAGACCUUAAGAAAAAGCUCAAGGUUUUUUGUUUUGUUUUUUCAACAUCUCCUGUUCCAGUGUGAUGACUGGCGAAGUGCCCUCUGCAGCAAUGCGUGCCUCAGCAUGCCUAGAAAAUGUUUGUAUUGGUGACAUUCGUAUAUUGUGGGUAUUUUACCCUAUUUUCAUUUUAGAGGUGAAUGGAGAAGAGUGAAGGCCAAGUAGGUUCUUGUGCGUGUCAUUAACAUAGGCACCGUGUGGCCCUUCUUCAAGUCAUGUCUGUGCCGAUGAAGCAAAGGAAAGGAAAGAAAUCAAGAAACAAGAAUUUGUUGUUCUAGUUGUUGUUUUCUCAGGAUGAAUGUCAACUGAAAAACUGAGGAAUUUAUUGUGAAUAAAUUUUAAAUUCCCCUUCCUCCA
rnacentral:lncRNA from 1 species